UACGGGGGGAGCAAGCGUUGUUCGGAUUUACUGGGCGUAAAGGGCGCGUAGGCGGUCAGCACAAGUCAGUUGUGAAAUCUCCGGGCUUAACUCGGAAAGGUCAACUGAUACUGUGCGACUAGAGUGCGGAAGGGGCAACUGGAAUUCUUGGUGUAGCGGCGAAAUGCGUAGAUAUCAAGAGGAACACCUGCGGCGAAGGCGGGUUGCUGGGCCGACACUGACGCUGAGGCGCGAAAGCCAGGGGAGCGAACGGG
rnacentral:rRNA from 1 species